rnacentral:pre_miRNA from 1 species
UCAACUCAAAUUUGUAUGGAGUUGGAACAGGUGCCUCCGUUUGCCGCUAGGGGCGCUGUUCUAACUGCAUACAAAUUUGAUUUA